rnacentral:rRNA from 1 species
UACAGAGGUCUCAAGCGUUGUUCGGAUUCAUUGGGCGUAAAGGGUGUGUAGGUGGCGCGCUAAGUCGGGUGUGAAAUUUCGGAGCUUAACUCCGAAACUGCAUUCGAUACUGGCGUGCUUGAGGACUGGAGAGGAGACUGGAAUUCCUGGUGUAGCGGUGAAAUGCGCAGAUAUCAGGAGGAACACCGGUGGCGAAGGCGGGUCUCUGGGACGGUACUGGACGCUGAGACGCGAAAGCGUGGGGAGCGAACAGG